rnacentral:ncRNA from 2 species
GCUUAUUCUCAGGGCAGGGUGCAAAUCCCGACCGGCGGUAAACCAGUUUUCUGGUAAGCCCGCGAGCGCCCAAAGGUCGCAAGACUUUUGGGGUCAGCAGAUCUGGUGAGAUUCCGGAGCCGACGGUAAUAGUCCGGAUGGGAGAGGAUAAAG